rnacentral:lncRNA from 1 species
CGCGUAGGGAUGCAGAACAGCUACGAACGGUGACCUUCGAAGUUUGCGCCCUUCGACUGGAUCAAGCGAUUCAGCUGAUGAGGGAUCAGAUCAGCCGAGUUCGAAGACUUUCACUGUAAACUCGGUUCGGCUGUAAGAGCCGAUUGUACGGAAAGCAUAGAGUUUUGUGUCGGCUGAUGAGCCGAAUAGAUGGAAUACACAGGGACUGGUCGGCUGAAAGAGCCGAAUGCUUUUAUAUAUUAAAA